rnacentral:rRNA from 1 species
UACGUAGGGUGCGAGCGUUGUCCGGAAUUACUGGGCGUAAAGAGCUCGUAGGUGGUUUGUCGCGUUGUUCGUGAAAACUCACAACUCAAUUGUGGGCGUGCGGGCGAUACGGGCAGACUGGAGUACUGCAGGGGAGACUGGAAUUCCAGGUGUAGCGGUGAAAUGCGUAGAUAUCUGGAGGAAUACCGGUGGCGAAGGCGGCGUUCUGGACCAUUACUGACACUGAACCGCGAAAGCUAGGGGAGCAAACGGG